rnacentral:tRNA from 1 species
AUUAUUUUGGCAGAUUAGUGCGUUAAAUUUAGAAUUUAAAUAUAGGAUUGGUUAGUAGUCUUAAAUAAUA